rnacentral:lncRNA from 1 species
GCAAUACUGGAGAUUGAACAGAGGGUCUUCAGUGUGCUAGAUAAUGACUGAGCUAGACCUCAACUAUAAUCCUGAAGCACUGCAAUAUGGGUUUCUUUCUUCACACCCAAGGGGAGAAAAGCCUCAUUAAAGAAAUGAAGGAAUGGGUGAAAUGCCAAGAGAUCUCAGCUCAUACACUACAAAAGUAGCAAACUACUUUCACAGCAUCACCAGGUUUUCUUUUAUAUCCCAAAGAGCAUAUAAAAAUGCUCUCACGCUUAAGCCAUCACACAGAUGCUAAACUACAAUAGGAUCUCUGGCAGAAACCUUAUUUGGAUUCGCAGGGUUAUUUAAAGAAUUUUCAACAGAAGCUUUUUCUGCUAAAUCCAAUUCAGUCAUUUCAACAUACAUCAAACGUCUUGCUGUUCUAGAAUUCUAAAAACUAUACACAGGUUACUGGAAUACAAGAAAGGCUCAAUAUGCAAGUCUGUUACCAAAAUAAUAAACAGACAUUUCAUCGGCAAAGGGUUCUGAGAACCAGGAAAAUCAGCUGCUCCUUAGGCUGGAGCGUAGUCAGCCUCUGGCGACAUCUUAUGGAUAUUACACUGGCUAGUUUUAGCGUCAUCAGAAACAAGGGAACUUAACUGAGAAAACGGCUCUAUCAAGAUUGUGUUGCAGGCAAGUCUGUACAGCAUUUUCUUUAAUGAAUGAUUGGUAUCGACGGGACCAGGCUGUUGUAGCUGGUACCAUCUUGGGUUUGUGCUCCCGGAUUAUAAAAAAAAGCAGAUUAAGCAAGCUUCUGCCCCGGACUUCUGACCAGAUCCUGCCUUGGCUUCCCUCAGUGAACAGUGGCUUGAAAUAUGUAACUCAUAUAAACUCUUCCCUUCCCUGGUUGCUUUAUGGUCUUUCAUCACAGCGCUAAUAACCCUAAACAAGACAGAUUGCCAAAGGCGGAUGCGCUGGGGUCAGGGAUGGAGCGAGGCCCCCUCCCGGAGGGCAAGAUCACGGCUACAAGCACCGCGAACGCUUUCUGUGUUGAACUGUAAAGCACUCGCCAACCGUGUUCCUUCCCUAAACAAUGUCACUGCUGUACGCGGCAGUCGUCCUCCACGGCGGCAGGCGGGAGGGCGACUGGGCCGCUCGGUCCCUAACCGCUCGGCCUCCGCCCGCCCCGGCCAGCCCCGUCACCUGUUUCCGCAACCGCCGAAGGCUGUUCUUCGCUCCCGACGCUCGCCGCUAUAGUCCCUGGACAACUGAGGUGCCUGGAAAUAGAGCGCGGGAUUGGGUUCCUUCUCUGGGAACACAGGGGCAAACGGGUCAAGAACCCCACGCCGCGAGCAGCCAUUGUCAGGCCAGCAGGAAGUAAACGCCAAAGGUCAGUGGGCUUCUGAGCAUGCGCGCCGAGAGCCUGCGACAACGGGAAGCCCAGUAGGUCAAACAAGGAAGGCACUAUCGCGUAGACAGCAAAAUACGGAGGCCAGAAUGGAAAUUGCUGAGGUUUGCAUAUACUUACGUGGUCUGAAUUUAACUUUCUGUGUGCCUCAAUGAACCCCGGUGAAGUGUUGCUACUCCAUUAUACAGCUUUUAACUUGUUACGCUUUAUUCACAUUUUGUUGAAGAGGAAGAUGAAUGAGCCUCAGAAGUCAGACUCAAGUCAGACUACCAAAGUUAUUGUUUUGUUCCUAUAUAGGCACGUUUUAAAUCCCUAAAUAGAUAUCUUUUUUAAAGUGCUAAGUGCUACUAACUUUACUGGGUUUGUAUGACUAUUGAGUUGUUCCGUUCACUAACUCAAAAUUUAAUUAGAUUUCCUCUACUUUCUCUAUUUGUUUGUAAGCAGGUUUUACUAAUCGAACUAUAUUCUUGCAUUCCACCUCACAACAGAGGAAAGUUUUCAUUUUUCUUUAUUUGUAAAGUAUGUGUCCGUUAUGUAGUUUUGUGCAUGCGAGUGCAAUGCCCAAAAGUGCCACAAGAGGGCAUGAGCUCUCGAGGUGCUGGAGAUACCAGGGACUGUGAGCCACCUCACUUGGGGGCUGGGACCCAAACUCUGAUCCUCUGUAAAAGCAAUGUGUCCUCUAACUCCUGAGCUGUCUUUCCAGACUCUCGAUAGAAUUGGCGUGCCAAAUGUGCUUUAUCAGUUUUGAGACCUCAGUAGGUUGUUUCUACUGUUUUACUGCUAUAAUUAGAGUAGCUAAGAACAUUCAUGUGUAAUUUGUGUGUGUGUGUGUGAAUGUGUGCAUCUAGAGGUCAUGUAUCAGCAUCAGGCAUCUUCCUCUAUUGCUCUCCAUCUUAUCUUUAGGUCCAGCAUGCCUCACAGUUUUGUCUAGUGAGCUUCUGAGACCUACUCACUCUGCCUUUCUUCACCUGGAGCAACUGAGCUAAACUUGAGUUCUCUAAAAGAACUGUCUGUGUUCUUAACUCUCUAGCCAUUACCCCGACUCUGUUUUAACACUAAAAAUAUAUAAUAUUUAGUUUGAAAUUUAUGCAUCUACUUGUGGCAGAGAGUAUAUUUGCACAUGUAUGUGAAUACCCACAGAGGCCAGAGAGAGCUUUGGAUCUCCCGGAGCUGAAAUCACAAGCCACCCAAUAUGGAUGUUAACAAUUAAACUAGAGUCCUCUGCAAAAACAGCCAAUCUCUCCAGGCCCUGCUUUAGUCUUUUGUGGAACGCUAUGCUUCACCCCAGAGGAGUUGUACCGUUUUCAUUGCCACGAGAAAUACAUGAGAUUUUGAUGUUUUGCACACUCUUGACAAUAUUUGCUGAUUUUGAUUUAUGGUAUAAUGUCUCUUCUGUUGCUGUGAUCAAACAUCAAGACCAAGGUAACUCAUAGAAGAGUUAUUUGGACUUACAGCUUCAGAUAGUUAGAGCCUGAAAUGGCAGAGCAAGGUGGAUAGGCAAGGCGCCUGGAGCAGGAUGCAAAGAGUUCACAUU